CUAACACUAACUAGCAGACACACACACUAACACUCACUAGCAGACACACACACACUAACACUCACUAGCAGACACACACACACUAACACACACACACUCACACUAACACUCACUAGCAGACACUCACACUAACCCUCACACACACACUAACACUCACUCUCACACUAACACUAGUUUUUUGUUUUUUUUUAUGUAAUCCCCCCAGCCUCCUUACCUUUUGGAGUGCUGGG